ACUUAAGUAGUUUAAUAUACAAUAAUGAUUUGUGGAAUCAUAGAUGUAAAAUGUACCUUGGGUU
rnacentral:tRNA from 1 species